rnacentral:rRNA from 1 species
AGAGCGAACGCUGGCGGCAGGCUUAACACAUGCAAGUCGAACGCGUGUAGCAAUACACGAGUGGCGCACGGGUGAGUAACGCGUGGGCAUCUGCCUCAUGGUUCGGAAUAACCCCGGGAAACUGGGGCUAAUACCGGAUGGUACCUUCGGGUUAAAGAUUUAUCGCCAUGAGAUGAGCCCGCGUCCGAUUAGCUAGUUGGUGAGGUAACGGCUCACCAAGGCGACGAUCGGUAGCUGGUCUGAGAGGACGAUCAGCCACACUGGGACUGAGACACGGCCCAGACUCCUACGGGAGGCAGCAGUGGGGAAUAUUGGACAAUGGGGGCAACCCGUGAUCCAGCCAUGCCGCGUGAGUGAUGAAGGCCUUCGGGUUGUAAAGCUCUUUUAGCGGGACGAUGAUGACGGUACCCGCAGAAGUAAGCCCCGGCUAACGUUCGUGCCAGCAGCCCGC